rnacentral:lncRNA from 1 species
AAUGACUUGUGGCAAAUAGUUAUGUACAUCCUCAGAUUUUACCAAGGUCACUGAAACCAGGGCAUUUACUUUUGAAUAAGUCUUGCUAAGGAAGCUUGUCUUGCCACUGGUUGCUCUGGCAUUUCCGCUCCAGACCAUCAAACUUUAAAGCAUCAUGAAGACCCCGAGCCAAGCCUGGAAAAGUGUGUCCUUUCUGGUCCAGCACCUGCCUGUGUGCUCAACUCCAUAAACUGCUGACUUCUAAGAGCUACUCACAGAGUGUCAAGUUGAAGAUGAUCAGGACAUGCCACCCUAACAUAUGCUGCCUUGGUGUAUGGAUUACUUUGAGCGGAGGACACUUGAAACACAGCAAAUGCAGGAAGAGGCUUUCUCGGAACUCCUCUUAUCUGUGUAAAGACAGAUAUUCCAAAAGGAAAUCAAUGGUCAUCAGUCCUUUCCCUGGAAGUUUCAUCAAUCUGGGAGUUUUGUUUAAAAAAUUCUUUUUCUUAAGAUCAAAUGAAAAUUUUAGACAAAUUAUAAUUGUAUAUAAUUAUGGGAUACACAUUGAUGUUAUUAUACACACACACACAGGCACAGUGCGGAAUCAUUGAAUGAAGCUAAUUAACAAAGCCACCAUCGUGAAUACUUAAUAGAAUUCAAUAUGCCCCUGUCUAACUGUAACUUUGUACCCUUUGACCAACAUUUUCCCAUUCCCUACACAAGAUUAACUCUUAUCACAGGAGAGGAGACUCUAGAAGUUGGCACCACACCCAGAAAGACUUUGUCACAAACCUAUCACCUCUUGUUCUAAGGGUGCAUUUAUCUUCCCCAAAAUAAUUUACUCUCCUCUAAGUUGUCUACAUUUGUCCUCUCCUCUCUCCUUAGCGGAGGGCAUAUAUUCUAAAUCUCGCUUAUUUUUUGUGUAUUUACUCUUUUUCUAGUGAUGCCCCCAAACACGUAGUAAAUUUGUAUACCUUUUGUCCUGCUGAUCUGGCUGUUGUCACUAUAUUUCAUAGACUAUUAAAGAAACUUUAGAGGGUGAAAGGAAAGUCUUCCUUCGCCUACAAAGUUGUAACAAUAGUCUUUAAGAAAAUUCCCAUUUACAGACAGAUGCCUCAUUGUUCUUUUCAUUAUUCUGCUGGCAGGAUAUUUAAGAAAUCGCCACAUUGUGACAGCUACUAUUGUUGUUUGUAAGAGUUGUCAAAGAGAAACAAAGCUGGACACUAGUUAAAGGCAACAGAGACAGAUUUUAUUCAAUGAUAACUAUUGCAGUAGGGAAGAGAGUUCAGAGUAAACUGAGCUCAGCUUUGCCAAACCUAAAGGCAGGAGAAUUUUAAAAUGCUAGGGUGGGCUGAAAGAAAGACACUGAGAGGUCAUUAAGAGAGUUUGGUUCAUGUGAUUCACUUGGUUAUUCAGGGUUGCUAAUUGGCACUUAUCUGGAAGAGAAACAAAAUUCUCAUGUCUUUAUGACAGGCGUAGUUUUGCAAGUUGGAGCAAGAAGCCCAUUGCCUGCCCACUGAAGUUAGCCCCUUAGCCUCCCACAGGGAGUCGGAGUGAGAGUUAUUUUCUUGAAUCUUUACAUUUCAAAGAACUAUUUCCAAGUCCUUGAGGAGACAGUUCUGGGUGGUAGAUUUCCAUCUCAAAGGGGCAGAGAAAGGAUUUAUAAUUGCAAACUUUCUAAAAUAACUGCUCUAAGAGGAGGUUUAGGGAGCUAUCAGCCUCACUAGGUUUUAGCUGGAACAGAUAGUAAGCUUUUCUAGCAGCAUUGAACUUUCUCGGACAGACUUUUUAGGGGGAAUUGGAGUCAUAAUAGGGACACCACCUUAAGCUUCUAGAAGCCAUGCUAGCAUUUGGUGAAGUCUCUUAGUGCAGGAGUUUGGAAAGGGUUGUAUGCUGAGAAUUUUUGCAGUUCUCAGGGCCUACUCUGGGUCAGAUGCAAAGUUUGCUGGAACAUUGCAUAUGAUAUUGAAAACCCUACCAAAAAUGCUGAGAGAGAAUAUUUUCAAACUUUUUCAACAUCUGAAAUAACUUAGGUUUAUAGAAAGAUCAGAGGAUGAUUAAUUGGUAGAUCUAAGAUUUGAAUCCAGUUCUGUUUGCA